UGAAAAUAUUUUUUUUCCCCCCACAUUUUCAAACUAAAAAACUGGUCAAUUUUGACCUGCAGGACAACAGGAGGGUUAAAGAAAGCAUGUUAUUUCCGACUGCAUCAGAACACAACAUGCUUCCCUUCCCUCUGUGUCCUUAAAGACACAAUCCCUCCAUUCAUUCAUCCAAACAUGCAGCAGAGAGUGAGUCUGUGUGAGAAAGAGAGGCGUUAAUGUUCCCAAAAGUUCUGCUGAAACCUCCUACUAGGAAAUCUGCCUCCGUUAAUCUCCGUUUGUUGGUUCAGGAUUACAAAUAAUCCCAUUAAAGACAGUUGAAGCAACACUUAGUGGCAAAUGAAAGGACUAAUUGAACAGCAGGUGUAAUUGUUGCAAACAUGAACAACACGGCACGGCGGUGUUUAUCACGUGUUGGAGCUCCUGUGUUCAGGAUGUGAGAAACACGCUGACAAACUGAAGUGUGAAGAAGCUGCAAGGCUUAGAAGCACUGUUCCCUCUAAACUGCGUGCGUGUGCAAUUGCGCACUGCUGACACGGUCUCCGCGCACAGAAAAUCUGCGCUGCGCACAAAAAAAAAAUCCAACCUAAAUUGUAAAUAAAACAAACACGUAACAAUUCAUUCUGUGCUAUUUUUCAAUGUGAGUCAGUGAGUGACCGGUGACUGGCUGCUGCAGCCAAUGAUGCGAUUCACAUACAUAUUUACCAUAGACUGUAUAUAAUGGUAUUUACGCAGCUAAUCAAUGUCAGACGUCCUUAUGUGCAGCCAUCGUUGUUCUCAUAGAUAUGAAUGAGUAGAUAGGACACGCCCCUUUGAGCUGCGUACUACUGCGAGGCUAAGCUAGUGGGGGCAAAGUUUCAGUGCAUUCAGUUGAUGUAGACGGUGUGAAAACGGAAACAAGUAUGCCUGCUCACUGUGCUGCAUACAAUUACACACUACGUCGUACGAUUGAGACAAGGAUACUUGGAAUGACUUUUCAUAGGUUUCCCAGAGACUAUGGGUUGAGGAGGAAUUGGAAGUUUGUCGGCUUAGACCUGGUGUUAUUCCAUCAGUGUUAAACUUCCCGGCUCAUCUUGGAAGAGUACGUGCCAGAAAGACCACGACCAAGCAGCCUUGAGGUCUUAGGCAGCGUCUCCCCGAGCUUUUUAUUGGAUAGGCGUAGUGAGAGACAGACAGGAAACGGGGGAGAAGAGUCGGGGGAAGACAUGAAGAAAAGGGCCGCGAGCGGUACUUGAACCCCAGCCGCUGCGUCAGGGACCAGCCUCUGUACAUGGUUCACCCACUUAACCUGUUGAGCUAUACAGGUACCCACGUUUUGUCUUUUUAAAGGUUUAAUGAUCUAAUUAAAUGUUUUGCAUUUUUUAAAAGGUUUAAUAGUGUUCUUGUUUAAUUGUAUUUUUUUUUUAA